GAUGAACGCUGGCGGCGUGCCUAAUACAUGCCAGUCGAGCGAACGGACGAGAAGCUUGCUUCUCUGAUGUUAGCGGCGGACGGGUGAGUAACACGUGGAUAACCUACCUAUAAGACUUGUAUAACUUCGUGAAACCGGAGCUAAUACCGGAUGAUAUUUUGAACCGCAUGGUUCAAAAGUUAAAUACGGUCUUGCUGUCACUUAUAGAUGGAUCCGCGCUGCAUUAGCUAGUUGGUAAGGUAACGGCUUACCAAGGCAACGAUGCAUAUCCGACGUGAGAGGGUGAUCGGCCACACUGGAACUGAGACACGGUCCAGACUCCUACGGGAGGAAGCAGUAGGGAAUCUUCCGCAAUGGGCGAAAGCAUGACGGAGCAACGCCGCGUGAGUGAUGAAGGUCUUCGGAUCGUAAAACUCUGUUAUUAGGGAAGAACAAAUGUGUAAGUAACUGUGCACAUCUUGACGGUACCUAAUCAGAAAGCCACGGCUAACUACGUG
rnacentral:rRNA from 1 species